UACGUAGGGUGCAAGCGUUAAUCGGAAUUACUGGGCGUAAAGCGUGCGCAGGCGGUUUUGUAAGUCUGUCGUGAAAUCCUCGGGCUCAACCUGAGAAUUGCGAUGGAGACUGCAAGGCUAGAAUCUGGCAGAGGGGGGUAGAAUUCCACGUGUAGCAGUGAAAUGCGUAGAGAUGGUGGAGGAACACCGAUGGCGAAGGCAGCCCCCUGGGUCAAGAUUGACGCUCAUGCACGAAGCGUGGGAGCA
rnacentral:rRNA from 1 species